CGUUNAGGGGUAAACUGAGAAACCGAAAGGUCGAAGGGAGAAAUUCAUUCGUGUUUAAUGUGAACGAUAGGCGAUGGUUUUUAGUGACGGAAUAUGUUUCGAUAUAAUUCGCACACAUUGUCUAUCGAAUUUGCAUAAAACGCGUGCACUUUUCUCCUGGUAGGACGUCGCGAUCCGUUGGGUGUCGGUCUACGGUAAUUGGUGGAGCCCGUUGAUUACGUUUAAUAAACGUACAUUAACGAACCCAUUAUACCUGGCCGACUCGCUCGACGGUAUAAUAAAUGGUUUGAGGCCGCUUACCUAUUUUAGGAGCGUUCGACUCAUGGCAAGCGCGUUAGUUGUUUAUUGAAAUCGGACCUAGUGCCGAUUUCGAUCUCUAAUGACUGUUGGCUAUGAAGUUCUCGAACAGACCUCAAUUUAAAAAACCGUUCUGCGGCGCUAUAGCUUUGGGUAAUUUCAGGACCCGUCUUGAAACACGGACCAAGGAGUCUAGCAUGUGCGCAAGUCAUUGGGAAUCAUUAAACCUAAAGGCGUAAUGAAAGUAAAGAUUUUUGCUUGCGAAAAUCGAGGGAAGAUGGGUGUUUCUAAUUAAUUUUAGGACACUUCGCAUUCCCGGGGCGUCUCGUUCUCAUUGCGAGAAGAGGCGCACCAAGAGCGUACACGCUGGGACCCGAAAGAUGGUGAACUAUGCCUGGUCAGGACGAAGUCAGGGGAAACCCUGAUGGAGGUCCGUAGCGAUUCUGACGUGCAAAUCGAUCGUCGGAACUGGGUAUAGGGGCGAAAGACUAAUCGAACCAUCUAGUAG
rnacentral:rRNA from 1 species